CUGUGACCCUUUAACUCAGUUCCUCACGUGGUGACCCCCAGUUAUAAAAUUAUCCUUGUUGCUAACUUCAUGACUGCAGUUUUGCUAUUAUGGAUCCUGAUGUAAAUAUCUGAUAUGGGACUGUUGUGAAAGGGUCAUUUGACACCCGCCCCCCAAGGUUCUCAACCCACAGGUUGAGAACGACUUUUGUAGAAGCUGACUUUGAACUCCUGAUCUUUCUGCCUUUGACCCUCCAGUGCCCAGAGUGGGUCACCACGCCCAACCUCUCCAUUUCAUGUGGCCCUCAAUACUCACUUCAGGAGUCCUCAAUACUUGGAAAAGAUGGAAAGAAGUUCAGAGGAGUCAAACCUCUAAACCAUGGAGGCUUAGCUGCGCCUGGCGUGCCCUCUGGUGGUGAGAGCUGGUAUGACUCUGCUGAUGCCUGUGCUGGUUUGGUUGGUUGUGAAGUAAUUAAUUACAUACAGGUAACUCUAGUUGGUGACAUAAGAUGAGCCAGCACAGAGAGAAGGAAGAGAUUCAUGGGCGCACAAAGAUCUGAGAAUAAGUGAUGUUUGAAUGCCCAGCCCUAAACAAGGUAUCUUACCCCACCACAAGAUUCUGGAAACAGUGAGCUGGUUUCAGACCUGUGAUGUACCUGAGGAUGACCUUGAACCUCCUGCCUCCACCUCCCGAGUCCUGGGAUUACAGGUCUCAGGUGGUCCACGCUGGCCUUGAACUCCUGGAUCUCCUGUCUCAUCUUCUGAAUACUAGGAACGCAGCAGCAAUUAAUAAACUUAAUUAAAAAAUAGUCGGGAAACCCUUUCGCAGUCCGCCGUGACCUGAAAGCCUUGAGCUUGGUGCAAAAUGGAGGACUCCGUUUGUCCUCGGGGCUCUCUCUCCUCUGCCUGGGGAGUCCGGAUCUCCACACAUUCUAUCUGAAGAAUGUCAUGUAGUCCUUAGGGAAACUACAGGUUCAACUUUCUUUCUCCUGGCCAGAACCCUGUCAGCAGGCACCUGGGAUCCCUAGAAUGCCUCUCCAAUCAAACGAGGUAUUCCAGUACCUAAGCCCCCAGCCAAUGAUUGAUAUCCACCCUGGAUUACACUACACCCUCCCCAAAUUUCUAUAUAAUUCCUGUUCACCCCCAAAUAAAAUUGAACUGCCUUAAUGAAGCUGGUUCGGGUUGUCAGUUCAACGUACUCACCGUCAUCUGAAUCCGGCCGCUCCUCUCCUGCCUCUGCUCUCCUUAACCUUGUAAACUGGUGGCCAACAGUCCCUGGGAAAAGGGAAGACCCACAGAUUUUGUUCAUUUUUAAAAUGCUUAUUUUAGAUUGUGUGUCGAUGUAUGAAAUGUGGACUUGUGCAUGCAAGAGUCUAGAAGAGGCCAUUGGAUCCCUUGAGUU